CUGCCAUUCCCAUUCAAUUUCUACGUGGUGUGGUAUGGUGCGGUAGGUAGUGAAAUCAAAAGGCAAGGGAAUCAAGUUUUCAGUGGUUCGAGACUUAUGAUCAGAUUAUGUGGAAAAUUUUUUUACAAGCUUAAAUCAAUUCAUAAAUAUUUUCCAAGCGUAAAUUGUUAAAAUUUUUUUCUCACGUCGUAGCUUGCUGUUUAGACGAGUAACAUUACAAUCAAUCACGUGUGAUGUUUAAAGUGAGUAUAUAACCUGAAAACUAUUAGGUGAAAGAUGCACAACAUCGAUGGCAAAUGUCACAGGGUCCGCAUUUUAAUAAAUUAAGCUAUAUCGAUAAAGUGAUGAACAGUAACAAACUUUUACCUGAAGAUACCGGUAGGAUCAUGAGCACAAUUUUUCACUCAAUAGUGAAUCUAUGCAAUAAUUGCAAUUAUCAAACAACAAUUUAUUGACAAGGUGUUGUGAAACAUUGAAGAUUAAGGAUCCCUGAUGGAGAAAGUAGAUACUAAAAAGGUUGAAGCUUUAGGAGAAACAGGUGAGGGAUU